CCGGUUUGAAAUUAGCGCGAGGGUGGGGGCUCACCACGAGGCACACCUGAGCAGAAGUUGUUUUGCAGGCAUGAGAAAUCACAGUGAGAGCAACGCUGCAAAGAAGCAGGAGGGAUGGAUAGCACAAUGUUGAUGAUAGGGCAAGGCCAGGACAAAUCAGCUGAAUGUCUUACUGGGCUAUUUCAAACUCCAGAUGAAGGGUUUUGACCCAUGAUGUCAACUGACUACUUCCCUCCAAAGAUGCUGCCUGAUGUACUGAGUUCCGUGUUGCUGAAAGGCAAACACAUCGUUUUGGAUCUGGUCACAAACUAAAAAUGGGUAUGGAUCAAGCAUACCUUUCCCUAAAGGUUUGUGUGAAUGCCAAGAAUUAAAUUAAUCACUGAACACAACAAUAACCAUGUGUGCGGUGAAAAUCUGUAAGA